rnacentral:rRNA from 1 species
UACGUAGGGUGCGAGCGUUAAUCGGAAUUACUGGGCGUAAAGCGUGCGCAGGCGGUUUUGUAAGCCAGGUGUGAAAUCCCCGGGCUCAACCUGGGAAUGGCAUUUGGGACUGCAAGGCUGGAGUGCGGCAGAGGAGACUGGAAUUCCUGGUGUAGCAGUGAAAUGCGUAGAUAUCAGGAGGAAUACCGAUGGCGAAGGCAGGUCUCUGGGCCCGACACU